GGAUGUAUAGCGAUAGCUAAUUGUAUCCAGACAUAAUGGAUACAAUAUUGACUUUGUCAAAUAAAAUUCUAGGCAGAAUUAUGAUAAUGACAUUGUCUGCCUAUGUGUCUUGACCAAAUUACGUGCCAGCAGUCGCGGUAAUACGUAGAAGACUAGUGUUAUUCAUCUUUAAUAGGUUUAAAGGGUACCUAGACGGUAAAUAAAGCCUAAAAAGGGGGACUAAUUUACUAGAGUUACUUGUGAGGGGGCACUAAAGUACUGAUGGUGUAGAGAUAAAAUUCUGUAAUACCUUUUUCGUAAAGAAAACAAUGGCACAGGUAUAGGCGAAAGCAUCCCCUUAUGUGAUAACUGACGUUGAAGGACGAAGG
rnacentral:rRNA from 1 species